AUUCCUACGGGAGGCAGCAGUGGGGAAUAUUGCGCAAUGGGCGAAAGCCUGACGCAGCCAUACCGCGUGUGUGAAGAAGGCCUUCGGGUUGUAAAGCACUUUCAGUGGGGAGGAAAAGCUGGUGGCUAAUAUCCACCGGCCGUGACGCUACCCACAGAAGAAGCACCGGCUAAUUCCGUGCCAGCAGCCGCGGUAAUACGGAAGGUGCGAGCGUUAAUCGGAAUUACUGGGCGUAAAGGGCGCGUAGGUGGCCGCCUAAGUCAGACGUGAAAUCCCUCGGCUCCACCGGGGAACUGCGUCUGAUACUGGGUGGCUUGAAUCCGGGAGAGGGAUGUGGAAUUCUAGGUGUAGCGGUGAAAUGUGUAGAUAUCUGGAGGAACACCGGUGGCGAAGGCGGCAUCCUGGACCGGUAUUGACGCUGAGGCGCGAAAGCCAGGGGAGCAAACGGGAUUAGAUACCCCGGUAGUCCUGGCCCUAAACGAUGAAUGCUUGGUGUGGCGGGUAUCGAUCCCUGCCGUGCCGAAGCUAACGCAUUAAGCAUUCCGCCUGGGGACUACGGCCGCAAGGCUAAAACUCAAAGGAAUUGACGGAAU
rnacentral:rRNA from 1 species